GUGCUUGCUUCGGCAGCACAUAUACUAAAGUUGGAACGAUACAGAGAAGAUUAGCAUGGCCCCUGUGCAAGAA
rnacentral:snRNA from 1 species